CGGCGUACGGGUGCGGAACACGUGUGCAACCUGCCUUUAUCAGGGGGAUAGCCUUUCGAAAGGAAGAUUAAUACCCCAUAAUAUAUUAAGUGGCAUCACUUGAUAUUGAAAACUCCGGUGGAUAGAGAUGGGCACGCGCAAGAUUAGAUAGUUGGUAGGGUAACGGCCUACCAAGUCAGUGAUCUUUAGGGGGCCUGAGAGGGUGAUCCCCCACACUGGUACUGAGACACGGACCAGACUCCUACGGGAGGCAGCAGUGAGGAAUAUUGGACAAUGGGUGAGAGCCUGAUCCAGCCAUCCCGCGUGAAGGACGACGGCCCUAUGGGUUGUAAACUUCUUUUGUAUAGGGAUAAACCUUUCCACGUGUGGAAAGCUGAAGGUACUAUACGAAUAAGCACCGGCUAACUCCGUGCCAGCAGCCGCGGUAAUACGGAGGGUGCAAGCGUUAUCCGGAUUUAUUGGGUUUAAAGGGUCCGUAGGCGGAUCUGUAAGUCAGUGGUGAAAUCUCACAGCUUAACUGUGAAACUGCCAUUGAUACUGCAGGUCUUGAGUAAAGUAGAAGUGGCUGGAAUAAGUAGUGUAGCGGUGAAAUGCAUAGAUAUUACUUAGAACACCAAUUGCGAAGGCAGGUCACUAUGUUUUAACUGACGCUGAUGGACGAAAGCGUGGGGAGCGAACAGGAUUAGAUACCCUGGUAGUCCACGCCGUAAACGAUGCUAACUCGUUUUUGGGGCUUCGGCUUCAGAGACUAAGCGAAAGUGAUAAGUUAGCCACCUGGGGAGUACGUUCGCAAGAAUGAAACUCAAAGGAAUUGACGGGGGCCCGCAACAAGCGGUGGAUUAUGUGGUUUAAUUCGAUGAUACGCGAGGAACCUUACCAAGGCUUAAAUGGGAAUUGAUCGGUUUAGAAAUAGACCUUCCUUCGGGCAAUUUUCAAGGUGCUGCAUGGUUGUCGUCAGCUCGUGCCGUGAGGUGUUAGGUUAAGUCCUGCAACGAGCGCAACCCCUGUCACUAGUUGCCAUCAUUAAGUUGGGGACUCUAGUGAGACUGCCUACGCAAGUAGAGAGGAAGGUGGGGAUGACGUCAAAUCAUCACGGCCCUUACGCCUUGGGCCACACACGUAAUACAAUGGCCGGUACAGAGGGCAGCUACACAGCGAUGUGAUGCAAAUCUCGAAAGCCGGUCUCAGUUCGGAUUGGAGUCUGCAACUCGACUCUAUGAAGCUGGAAUCGCUAGUAAUCGCGCAUCAGCCAUGGCGCGGUGAAUACGUUCCCGGGCCUUGUACACACCGCCCGUCAAGCCAUGGAAGUCUGGGUACCUGAAGUCGGUGACCGUAAAAGGAGCUGCCUAGGGUAAACAGGUAACUAGGGCUAAGUCGUAACAAGGUAGCCGUACCGGAAGG
rnacentral:rRNA from 1 species